AAGUCAUAACAAGGUUUCUGUAGGUGAACCUGCAGAAGGAUCAUUAUUGAAUUGCAAAAAUGGGGUUGUCGCUUUCGAGCACAUCCUCUACCUUUUCUCAAUAUCCUUACACACCUGUGCAUCGUUGCCGAGUUCGCUCGGUGGCACCUUUUUUACUACACACGAUAUAGUAUAGAACGUAAAAAAAACAAAAAAACAAAAAUAUAACUUUUGACAACGGAUCUCUUGGUUCUCC
rnacentral:misc_RNA from 1 species